GGAGCGGCCCUCAGGCCCCGGGAUCGUUCGGGCCGCCGGCCUGGUCCACAGCUCUUCUCACGGAGCCUUACUGCGGGCGGCGCCGCGAAGGCCCUGCCGCGAGCCGGCGAAGGUCCAGCCUGGCCGCUGCGCUCCUCACUUAAGGCCAUGAGCUCUCCCUUCCUCCUCAGCCCCCUGCUGCCGCGAUGCUCCCCUUGCUGCGGCCCAUGGUCUCGUAGUCUCCAAAGUCGUAAAUUCAGGCAUCCGGCUCUUGGAAGGUCAUCUCGUAUUUACGGCUGCUGCUUUCUGGGCUCCCCAGUUCAGUGAUUUUCUGCCUUCAGCACUCCCCUUGGUUAUCAUUACCCAAUCAUCUUUGCUAACAUGGGGAGGAUGCAGAGUCACAAGGCCGUACUCAGUCCCUCAGGAAUGGACUGGGAUCAUCAGUACCACGAAGUUUCUCAGGGCCUGGCAAAGCCUCCCCAGAUUGGCUGGGCCCAUCAGUUGGAUACUUGAGAGAAUGCUCUGUCGCUGGAAACAUUCCCAGGGCCCGUGACCACGCCCUCUGCCAUCCGGUUCCUUGGCGGGAGCCAGCUGAGGGUGGACUGGAACCCUGGGCUGAAACAGAUCCCUCAGUGCUGCAGCCAGUGACGGGCGCGGUGACGGAGACAGCUCCCAUGCAGCCCCCAUGCAGGGAGGCCCAGCCGGGAGCCGCCUCUCUGCAGACAGAAGACCCCACCCUGGGUGCAAAGCCACGCCCGGUGCUACACGGGUGGCUCCACCUCUUCCUGCAAAGGGCGCCCGGAAGGAGGAUUGGGAAGCGCCCGGGAAGGGAGAGGCCAGGCGGGCAGCUGUAGUCCGGGCAGGCCCGGAGUGGCAUCGUGCGGAGGGCGGAGCACAGCCUCCCUCAGAGGCAAAGGCUGCGUCCCUGAGCGCCUGGCACGGCCCUGUGACCUGGGAGCGCCCCGGACUGCGGGACUUUGAUCACCUUGGUUUUGUCUUCUUUUAAUGAAGCAAUUCUAGUUGUAAAAUGGUGUUAUGGUUUCAGUUCUCAAUUUUUAGCCAGGGUUUGUUUUUUCUUUAAAACCCUCUCAAGCAACGUUUUAAUGACGGCGUCUUACAGAGUUGAAAUAUAAAAGGGUUUAGCCUCGAUGCCGGCAGAUGCAAGUACCUGUGGUCGUGGAAGGGAGGCGAGCGACACCGGACCCAGGAGAAACCGCUUCUUGCUCACACUCGCGUUUCACAGAGUGCACACCGCAAGGGCGCGUGGCGAUCCAGCUGUGGAACAGCAGCAGGAUACGGAAGAGUGAGACUGGGAAUUGAACCUCGGGCGUUUCGGGGAGGCCUCGAGUCUGCCCUCUGGUGUUUUGCUCUUGACGCUGGGUCGAUUUGGGCCCCUCUCGAGUGCGGCCUCCUGGGAGGGAGCUACGGGACAGGCGGCGGGACUGGGGAGCGAGCGGAGGCGGCAGACACAGGCGCUGGAGCUCGGCCACCAGGUCGGGGUCACGUUUACCCUCCCCGCCCGUCCGCCCUUCCCGAGUCCACCAAGCCACCUCCCGGCUGCCCCCGCCUCUUUAUUUUGCUCUUCAAAUUAUUUGUAGUCUGUGUCUGUCCACUAAGAGGUCCAGGCAGCACUUCCCCUUCUCUGGCUUAUUUCCGAGCUGGCGGGGCGGACUGUCUCGCGGAGGAAAAUGGGCCUCUGGUCUUUGGGGCUGCAGACCCAGGCUGUCCCGAUGUCCAGGGUGCGUCCGGGGGGGGGAGCAGGCAGGGCCGAGGGGCCGCCCGGCCCCGGCCUUCCUCAGCGUGGAGGCCGGAACAGGGCCGUUCAUGCCAUGCCUUGGUCGACUGAGACAUGGAACUUGGGUCUCUCUCCAGAGGCACAGCAAGCAUCGGCUUAGAACUUCCCCACAAGCAGUCUACAGACCCGGUCACUGCAGCGUGGAUACCAGAAGCCCUUGGUAAAGAUGAUUUAAGCUGGCCGGGCGUGUUGGCGCACGCCUGUAAUCUCAGCACUUGGGGAGGCUGAAGCAGGAAGAUCACAAGUUCAAGCCCAGCCCGGGCAAUUUAGUGUGAGAUCCUGGAUCAAAAUUAAAACCAGGCUGAGAUAUAGCUCAGUGGCACCGUGCCUGCCUGGAAAACGUCCUGAGUUUGAUCCCCGGUACCACCAAAACAAACAAACAAACUACCCCCCACCCCCAACCCUGGAAUGGAUCUCGGCCUGAAAGCCCUGAGUUCACUCCCCAGUAGAGCAGAGCAAUGAGCUGGGUGUGGUGGCACAUACACAUCUGUAAGACCACUAACCUGGAGGGCUGAGGCAGGAAGAUCGGAAGUUCAAGCCCAGAGUGAUCGAUUUAGGGACCUAGUGAGACCCUGUCAAAAAGAAAAAAAAAAAAUGGAGAGAAUAAUUUGGCCUGGCCAGUAGAUGGCGCCUGAGGCUUAUGAUAAUUUUCAAAACAGGGUUAGAAAUACUUUUGUUACAGCUAAUGAUUGUAAUUUAGCAUAGUAACAACAGCAAUGGCAGAGACCACCAGUUCCUUUCAAGAUGUUUGGCUCAAAAAUAAACAAAUGGAAGAGGGGGUCAGCUCUUAGAACAGCGAGCAGGAAACGCAAGUUGACUUAAAUGCAGAGAAAGAGGGUGACCCAUCAGGAGGUGACGGGAGCAGAAGGGAGGGCAACGAGGAAUCGUUGGAGCAGAGCAGCAAAAAGUCAAAUCAAAUCAAAUCAAAUCAGUCUCUCCAAAGGAUCGGGGACAGGGACAGGAGUGAGUUAGAGAGGGCCAGGGAGUAAAAGUCAAGUCCUUUUUCAGUUCUUACAGCUGCAACCGAAAUGUGAACCAGACACCAUGGGGCUCCGCAGAGAAGGUGGCAGGGAAAGGUCCAGGAAGCAGAUGCAAGGGCUGGAGGUGUGCACAGAUGCAGCCACUGUAGGGCAUGGAGGCAGGGUGGGCUGGUCCUAGAGGUCAGGGAGGACACAGGGCCAGUCCCAGCUGUAGGAGCCAGUGUGCAGAUGGGGACAGCUCUAAAGGAGAGGAAUCCGUAGCCUCAACACAGAGGGUGGAAUCAGCUUCUUCCUGCAUGGCUGAAGGCGCGUGGAUGAGGAAGUAGAUUCCCGGGCCUGCGCUCCUGAUGAAAGGACCCAGAGGAGGCAGGAGGCACAGAGGGCUCAGGGCCCCUAGCAGAGCUGCCCUGGAGGUUCUGUAACCGGAUACAGGGUAGGUUUUUAAACCAUGAUCUUAAAAAAGGAAAUCUUGCCUCUUGGGCCCCUCCGACCACCCUUUGAGUUUCCGUGUGGUCAUCAGCCUGUGGGUGCCCUGAGGAAGGACCCUGCCAUGGGUUACUUGUGUGGUACCUUCGCUCCUUAGUGUCCCAGCGUCUGAGCAGCCUGUUCAGGCUCCCUUUGGCCUCGUCAGCUGGAACCUCAGAGCCUGCACCGUCUCCGGAGAGGCCUCAAGCCAAGGGCUGUCUCCCGCUGUUGCAUCCCUGGUCAUUCAUCUACUUGGGGCUGAUUUAUGUACGUGUAUGUGUCCCCCUCAUGCCCAGCUGCUACAGUCUAACUUUCCACCUAUUAGAGGAGGGCAGAAGUUUGAGAACAAUGCAGGUCUGAAGUGUUUCCUGGAGGGUGUGGGGCAGUGUUAGACUCUAAGCUAGAGCUAGCCCGAGGGAGGCGUUCCACUAGCAGCAAGAAAAAGUGUGAAGAGAUACACAGUGGAUGGGAAGGAAGCAACGACAUGACAAUGUGCCUGGGUCUUAAGAUUAUUAGCUGAGUGAGGAAAACCUUUACAGAAGGAUGCACAGCAUAGCAUUUCAUUUAUAGAACACUGUGCAGCGGAGUAACCUGGAGGAAUACAGACUAGAGGCUGGUGCCUGACGUUGGGAAUGGAGAGAGAUGGAUCGAACAGGGUGCAGGAGAGGUCUGGGGUGAUGUCCUCAACGGCUCUCAUCUGGAUGAUUUGUUGUAUAUCUCUGUCAAAACACAUUAAAUCAUAUGCUUAAAUCUGUGCAGCUAUUACAUGCAGAUAGUAAGGUUGUAGGGAAUAGAAUUGCUGUAAUGUACAGUUGCAACAAAAUUGGAACAUUGAACUAACUUUCAAAUGGUGCCAUAUGUGAUAGAAAACAAGGUACUACAGCCGGUCGGAUCUGGAGUGAGCCUGGAGGUGUUGGAGGCUUUGCCCCCACUGGCACUGCUGGGAGGUGUGUGACCUUUAGGAGGCGGAGCCUGGGGGACGUCUUCCGGUGCUGAGGAGUACCCUGGAUGGCUCCCUUCCUUUAUUCUCUUUUCACUGUCUGGUCAGGAAGUGAGCAGCUUCGCUCUGCCGUCCACUCCCCACCGUGGUGUGCUGCUUCGUCACAGGCCCCCAAAGCAGCAGGUCCAACUGACCAAGGACUGAACUCUCCAAAACUGAGAGCCGAAGCCAAACCUUCUUAUUUUAAGUUAUUCAUCCUAGGUAUUCUGUCACAGUGAUAGAAGCCUAUCACAACCCCUAAGUAUACAACAGAGAGACUCUUAAAUGUAUACCAUGAGAUAUAUUUAGGACAGUUGUUGUAGAAUUAUUUGUAGUAGGAAUAAAAUAGUAAUAUCUAAAUAUUUUCCUAAAUGCAUUUUCUGUCCAUUCCCUACCCAUUUUUCUACUGAGUGGUUCUUUUUAAAUCUAGGAAUGCUUUAUUAUACAUUGAGGUAAUAGAUUUAGAUAGUAUAUCAAUAGAAAGGAGAGCUACGAAUUCAUCAAAAAGAAAUUAACACUGCAUGUAUGAAUAUGAAUAAAUCUCAUAAAGUACAGAAAAGUAUUUAGUAUGAUAUUGGGUAAAGUUUAAAAACAUGCAAUAGUAAAACAUUUUUUAGGGAUUCAUAUGCUUAUCUUAAAAGUAUGAAAAAAAGGCCUCGAGAUGAGAAAUAACAAAUUUGGUAUUUUUCUCUGAGGUAAAAGGAAGUUGAUAUAAUUGGAAAAAUUACCCAGGGGUUUGCGUUACAUUGUCCUAGUCACGGCCUAUUUCUGAUGCUAAGUGUGAGGGCACAGGUUUCUCCUUUUAUUCUUUAUACCUUAUUUGUAUGUGUUAAAUAAUUAUAAGUAGUUCUAUCUCAGAAAUACAUACACAUUUUUCCUUUUACCAAUUGCUCUGAUGUCCCAUCUCCUCUCUCGUGGCUCAUAGCCUCCCUCUGGCUGUAGCUCCCUGCAACCACGGUUAUUUCAUAGUGUGGGCUGGGCAGACUCACCCUGCCUGUUCUUGUGCCCCGUGAUGGGAAUGUCCACUCACAGGCCCUCUCUCCUCCCAGGGAAGGGGACAUCGGAGAAGCCACUGAAGGCCCAUCUUCCACAUCGCUGGCCUGGUCUGGCUGCUGUAGCAGCUCCAGGCUGUGCGACGGUGGGGUUGCAGUAGUGUUUACUUUUGUUUUAGACAAUGGGAAUUUAAAAGGAGGGUGAUAUGGAGAAAUACUUAAAGGAGUAUGAAAAUAAUGUGCUUAUUUUCAUUACAUUUAAUUUGAUAAUAAUCAGUUGACUUUGCUUGAGCCCUUAACCUAAGUUUUUGGAACAAGUUAAGUCAGUUCGAGCUCACUUUUUUCCACAGUGAUAAUAGACAAUUAGUGCCCAUCACUCUUUACGUAUUGUUCUUUCCUGUGCUGAAGUUGCUUACUAAAUGUUUCCCACUUCUUUCUACUUUGAACUAAACAGUUCUUAAGUGUAUUUCCACUGCUUGCCUAUUAUUGAGCAUACAUCAUCCACCCUGUGUGCCUUAAUCUCCCCAGGCAUCAUGUUUUAUGAUGCAGGGCAUGCACACAGCCUUGUGUUUCACUGAGGUCAUCCUAAUUUCUCUUUCUUUUCCAAACUACCACAAUAUAGCACUUGUUGCAUUUUAAAACUUGAGCUGGCUACUGGGAAUACAACUGGUGGCAUGUGUAUUACAUGUGCAGAGCAAGCACAGUUUAUCACAGGAGAAGCUGGUCUGGCCCCAGUGUUUGGUCGCUGGUUUCCUUGAUGACUCACCCAUAAUCCUGCUGUCAGCCUAAGUCAGUCUCCUGGCAUCAGUACAGAAUCUGUUAUGAGGUUUUCAUCCUACAGCCCUUGAGAGGAAAAUACUAGGCUGAUAACAGAGCAAUUUUUUUCUUGAAUUGUAUAACUUUUCUCUCUUCUGGAAAUGAGUGAUAUUAUUUACACAACUUGGGAAAAUACAUCCUGGGAACUUUGAUGUUUGAAAAGUGGUGUGAAAAUUCAUUCAUAUUUUAAAAAUUGAGUCUGAGUAAAUAGGAGAAAAUUGAGAAGGAAACACCCAGAGUGUUGGCAGGAGUAAGAAAUUUGUGGAAAUAGGAUUGUAGAAAUGGAGACCUCGAAUAUAUCUACACUAUAUAAUAUUUAAACAUGUGAUCUAAGAAUAUUUUGGGUAAUUUUUCCUAUUUAAUCAUUUUCAAAAUGAUGUUUAAGAAAAUAUGGCUUGUGUCUAGAUGUCCCCCACAAAAGCCUCAUAUGCUCAUAGGUGGAGCUUUUCAGAGCUGGCUGGAACUAGGGUGUGUGCUACUGGGAUUAAAGGUGCAAUAAUUGGAUUAAUCCACUGAUUAGUGUUGUUCUGGGUGUAGGUGAUGGGAAGCCCCACCCUUGGCAUGGGUGGCACCAAUCAAUAGGCUUGUAGCCCAGAUGAAAUGUGAAGAGAAAGAGGGAAGGCAGGCUUGUUGCUUUCUGCCUGCCCUGCCAGGGACUAUUUCUCCUCUGCCUUCCACCCUGCCUUGGAGGCAGCUGACUGUGGACUGACAUCUCUACAAACUGUGAG
ensembl:lncRNA